rnacentral:lncRNA from 1 species
AUAUAUAUAUAUAUAUAUAGGGGCGCGCUCCAGUGAGACCCCCUAUUUUUCGUGUAACAUGAGUACAAUGAAUAAGACAUAUAAUACUAAUGAACAAGACGUAUAUCUAACGAACAAGAUGUAUAUACUGAUGAAAAAUAAAAUUUAAAAAAUUGGUAAUGAAUAAGACAUAUAUACUGAUGAACAAGGCAGUAUAUACUGAUGAAUAACAAAAUUUAAAAUAUUCUGCUCCCUCCAGGAUUCGAACCCUGCGAAAAAAAAUCACCCUCCAAAUACAAUAUCAGCCAUAGGAUUGAUGAAAUAAACGCACCAGAUCGUGCCCUAGAUCUCACUAAAAUUAGGGGGUCUCAUUGGAGCGGCC